CUCCCAGCCCUUAACAGGUCCCUGAAAUCACCCCAAACCACGCCCUUUACUUAAUUAUAUGCAAUGGUCAUCAUGCCCAAAUAUGGGCGAUAAUUUAUUGCAAUAUGGCCAGGUUACAACAGCUAGGGUGUGAAAUCGACAAGAUUCCAACAUUUCAUGCGAUCAAGAGGAAUUUGACGCUCCAAAACUGCUAAGUGUUGCAUUGGCCCAAGACGACACAGAACACCCCGUGUUGCAGAAGCCCAAGUUGGACCAGAACACCUCGCUGAAACAGAAUAGAAACAUGUGCUUCUAAGAAGAAAGCUUUGUUUGAUCAUGGCUUAAGAUAUUAAAACAUGAGUGUCUUGUUCUUC
rnacentral:lncRNA from 1 species